rnacentral:rRNA from 1 species
UGAGUACGAGAUGCUACGGCAUCGAAGCAGUCUAUGUCAUACUUCCAAGAAAAGCUUGCACUGUCAUAAACAAAGAAUGCCUGUACCAUAACCGACACAGGUGGGUAGGUAGAGUAUACUAAGGGGCGCGAGAUAACUCUCUCUAAGGAACUCGGCAAAAUGACUCCGUAACUUCGGGAGAAGGAGUGCCUUAUUUCUAAGGUUGCAAUAACAAGAUCCAAGCAACUGUUUACCAAAAACACAGGUCUCCGCUAAGUCGUAAGACGAUGUAUGGGGGCUGACGCCUGCCCAGUGCCAGAAGGUUAAAGAAGUUGGUUAGCAUUAGCGAAGCUGAUAACUGAAGCCCUGGUGAACGGCGGCCGUAACAAUAACGGUCCUAAGGUAGCGAAAUUCCUUGUCGGGUAAGUUCCGACCCGCACGAAAGGCGUAAUGAUUUGGAUACUGUCUCGGAGAGGGGCUCGGUGAAAUAGACUUGUCUGUGAAGAUGCGGACUACCUGCACCUGGACAGAAAGACCCUAUGAAGCUUUACUGUAACUUGAGAUUGAAAUUGGACUUUAUUUGCGCAGUAUAGGUGGGAGGCGUUGAGAAUAAUCUUGCGGGAUUGUUGGAGCCAUCAGUGAGAUACCACUCUUGUAAUGUUAGAUUUCUAACUUUGUAUCAUUAUCUGGUCAAAGAACAGUUUCAGGCGGGCAGUUUGACUGGGGCGGUCGCCUCCCAAAGGGUAACGGAGGCGCACAAAGGUUUCCUCUGAACGGGUAGAAAUCGUAUCUAGAGUGUAAAGGCAUAAGGAAGCUUGACUGUGAGACCUACAAGUCGAGCAGGGACGAAAGUCGGUCUUAGUGAUCUGACGGUGCUGAGUGGAAAGGCCGUCACUCAACGGAUAAAAGUUACUCUAGGAUAACAGGCUGAUCUCCCCCAAGAGUUCACAUCGACGGGGAGGUUUGGCACCUCGAUGUCGGCUCAUCGCAUCCUGGGGCGGUAGUCCGUCCCAAGGGUUGGGCUGUUCGCCAAUGAAAGCGGUACGCGAGCUGGGUUCAGAACGUCGUGAGACAGUUCGGUCCAUAUCCGGUGUAGGCGUUAGAAUAUUGAGAGGAGCCUUCUCUAGUACGAGAGGACCGAGAAGGACAUACCUCUGGUGUACCAGUUAUCGUGCCAACGGUAAACGCUGGGUAGCUAUGUAUGGAGUGGAUAACCGCUGAAAGCAUCUAAGUGGGAAGCCCACCUCAAGAUAAG